rnacentral:rRNA from 1 species
GAUGAACGCUGGCGGCGUGCCUAAUACAUGCAAGUCGAGCGAACGGACGAGAAGCUUGCUUCUCUGAUGUUAGCGGCGGACGGGUGAGUAACACGUGGAUAACCUACCUAUAAGACUGGGAUAACUUCGGGAAACCGGAGCUAAUACCGGAUGAUAUUUUGAACCGCAUGGUUCAAAAGUGAAAGACGGUCUUGCUGUCACUUAUAGAUGGAUCCGCGCUGCAUUAGCUAGUUGGUAAGGUAACGGCUUACCAAGGCAACGAUGCAUAGCCGACCUGAGAGGGUGAUCGGCCACACUGGAACUGAGACACGGUCCAGACUCCUACGGGAGGCAGCAGUAGGGAAUCUUCCGCAAUGGGCGAAAGCCUGACGGAGCAACGCCGCGUGAGUGAUGAAGGUCUUCGGAUCGUAAAACUCUGUUAUUAGGGAAGAACAUAUGUGUAAGUAUCUGUGCACAUCUUGACGGUACCUAAUCAGAAAGCCACGGCUAACUACGUG